rnacentral:rRNA from 1 species
AUGGGUAGUAUACACCCAGUGGAAGGGCAACCUCCACCACCCAGCUCCAGCUUGCACACACUGGCUAGGACAUCGGAACAUCCAGACUCACGCGUAUUGGGAAAUCAUGAAGAGUCACCAAAAGUGCACGAGAUAUCCACAACCUAUAUCGAUUCUGGAGAAUCAUUUAACCGUAAGUCUACGAUUGUCGAUACUUAUUUUUGUGCUACAAUUGCAAAUACCCUUCUCAAUGAUCAUGAUCCAAGGACUAUCACUGAGUGUGAAAAACGCUCCGACUGGCCUCAAUGGAAGGAUGCAAUACAAGCAGAACUAGCCUCUCUUAACAAAAGGAAGGUAUUCACAGAAGCAAUACCAACACCUCCCAAUGUUUUCCCUGUGGGAUUCAAAUGGGUUUUCCUCCGGAAACGGAAUGAGAACAACGAGGUGGUGAGAUACAAAGCAAGGCUCAUAGAACAGGGUUUCAUGCAGAGACCCGACAUUGAUUUCAAUGAGACAUAUUCUCCGGUUAUGAGUGGUAUCAUUUUCCGAUAUCUAAUAUCUUUGGCAGUGCAAAAUCGUCUAUCUAUGCAGUUGAUGGACGUCGUGACCACAUACCUUUACGGGUCACUAGAUUCGGACAUUUACAUGAAGGUUCCUGACGGAAUAUCUGUCCCGGAUGCAAGCGCAAAACGCAACAUGUACUGUGUAAAACUGAACAAGUCUCUAUACGGCUUGAACAGUCGGGACGGAUGUGGUACAACCGACUUAGUGAGUUCCUUCUUACUCCAACAGUGA